rnacentral:rRNA from 1 species
AGCGAACGCUGGCGGCAGGCCUAACACAUGCAAGUCGAACGAACUCUUCGGAGUUAGCGGCGGACGGGUGAGUAACACGUGGGAACGUGCCUUUAGGUUCGGAAUAACACAGGGAAACUUGUGCUAAUACCGAAUGUGCCCUUCGGGGGAAAGAUUUAUCGCCUUUAGAGCGGCCCGCGUCUGAUUAGCUAGUUGGUGAGGUAAUGGCUCACCAAGGCUACGAUCAGUAGCUGGUCUGAGAGGAUGACCAGCCACAUUGGGACUGAGACACGGCCCAAACUCCUACGGGAGGCAGCAGUGGGGAAUCUUGCGCAAUGGGCGAAAGCCUGACGCAGCCAUGCCGCGUGGAUGGUGAAGGUCUUAGGAUUGUAAAAUCCUUUCACCGGUGAAGAUAAUGACUGUAGCCGGAGAAGAAGCCCCGGCUAACUUCGUGCCAGCAGCCGCUGUAACAC